GCCGCCCCCUUUCUUCGUGCUUAACACAUGCAAGUCGAACGGAAAGGCCCUGCUUUUGUGGGGUGCUCGAGUGGCGAACGGGUGAGUAACACGUGAGUAACCUGCCCUUGACUUUGGGAUAACUUCAGGAAACUGGGGCUAAUACCGGAUAGGAGCUCCUGCUGCAUGGUGGGGGUUGGAAAGUUUCGGCGGUUGGGGAUGGACUCGCGGCUUAUCAGCUUGUUGGUGGGGUAGUGGCUUACCAAGGCUUUGACGGGUAGCCGGCCUGAGAGGGUGACCGGCCACAUUGGGACUGAGAUACGGCCCAGACUCCUACGGGAGGCAGCAGUGGGGAAUAUUGCACAAUGGGCGGAAGCCUGAUGCAGCAACGCCGCGUGCGGGAUGACGGCCUUCGGGUUGUAAACCGCUUUCGCCUGUGACGAAGCGUGAGUGACGGUAAUGGGUAAAGAAGCACCGGCUAACUACGUG
rnacentral:rRNA from 1 species